rnacentral:lncRNA from 1 species
CUCUGUCGUCCUCUUUCUCUCUCCCUGUCUCCGGUGAGCGUCGCCGGCCUUCGCCGCCUCCGGCGCGGCGAGGUCGGCCUCUCCUCUCCCCCUUCCUUUCUCUCCAUUUUCCUUUCCCUAUGUUUCAAUCCCCAAAUUAUAAAAUCAAAAUCCUAGGGUUUCUACCUCUCUUCAUCCCCUCUGGAAUUCGUCUCUCCGGCGAAGCCUGCCGCCCCGCCGUCGUCUCUGUCACGCCGCCGCCUCUUCUGACUCAGGUAAGUCCCUGUCUCUCUCUCUACUUCUAUCUCUGCUCUCUCCCUCGAACUCCCUCUCUCUCUGCCCUUUCUCGAUCUCUCGCUCUCUCUCUCUCUCUCUGUCCAGGGCGCGGCGGCCGCCGCAAGCUACGACGGCGCUUGCAGCGCCGGCGCUCGCCGCCGCCUGCCCCGCUCCUCUCUCCCUCUACCUCGUUCUGCCUUUCUCACUCUCUUCCUGUUGUCUGUCUCUAUCUCACACUCUAUCUUACUAUCUCUUGCUCAAUCUCCCUCUCUCUUCUACUGCAGCAGCCACCGCGGCUGCCGUGGCUCAGGCAGCGCCGAUGGUCGCCGCCACCAGCCGCUCCUCCGUCGCGGUGGUUCGCGGCCUGCCGCUGCUAACCUCUCCUUUCCCUUUCUCUAUUUCAAUCACCAGUUCAAAAUCUAAUUCCAGCAAAAUCUCCAAUCUAAUUUCUAUUUCAGCUUUAACAUCACAAAAUAAUGAAUCUUCACUUGUUCUAUUUCAGGAACCGAGGUUUCAAGGGAUUACUCAGAGUGACAGUUGUCUACUGCUCAAGAUUCAAUUUUUAUAUGAUGUAAAUCUGUUUAUUUAUUGAUUAUCGAGAAACUGGGAUUGUGUUACUGAAUCUGAAUAGGGAUGUCUGUAGCUUAUUACUAUUACUACUGGUUUCACUAUUUUUAACUGUUAUUAUGUACAUAAAGAGAAAAGAAAGACUACCUUCUUUAUACAAACUGCACAAGCUGCUGUAGACGAUUAU